AUUGGGAGAAAAUAUGAAAAUCAUCAGCAAAAUUGAAGGAGAAAGUAAUUGGGAGAAAAUAUGAAAAUCAUAAACAAACGUAAAAUUGAGCACAAUGUAUUGUGUAAAUUGGGAGAAAAUAUGAAAAUCAUAAGCAAAAUUAGGAGAAAAUAAUUAAAGUAUGUAGUUAGAAAGUUGUAGAUUAAAUUUCAAAACUAUAUUUGAAGCGUUGAGAUAAUGUCAAUUAUUAGUUUUCUAUUUAAUUAGAAAUUUUUAUUUUAAAAAAUAAAUUAGAUAAUAAUGUGAAAACUAAGAAACUGACUUCCACGUUUUAGUAGUGGUUUUUUUUACCUUAUUCAAUUUUUUUUUAAUUCAGUUAUUGGAUUCCUUUUUCUGUCUAAGUUAAGUAGUUAUUUUUACCUUUUUUUUUUUCUUUUUUGUAUAGUGAGGGUAAAAUGGGAUUUUAAUAUUUUGGUGUCCUACCCCUCUUCACAUAUAGAAUAGAGAUUAGACAAAAAAAAAUUGACCAUUAAUAACAUAAAUAUUACUCCUAACGUAAAUACUAUCCCUCAAAAUUUAUUAUGAAGGUAUUAAUUAUUAAAAUUCGUCCUUUUCAAAAAUAAUUAUUAUUAAUUAUCUCUUAUGAUAAUUAAUUUAACAAAAAAAAAUUACUAUUUAUAUAUUUGCCUAUACAUAACUUUGACCACUAAUAUAUCUAAUACUCUUGUUUUGAUUUUAUAAAGCACUAAUGGAAAAUCAAAAGUUGAUUAACAUUUAUUGCUAACAAGUUAAAAUUGGCACAUACGAAAAAUUCUCACCCCACUUUCAUUUAUGUGAAGGUAGUAGAAUGCAUUAACUCGUUAUCUCUCACUCUACAUUUAUAACUUUCAUUGUUAUUAGUAACGAAAAUAUGUUAUCUCUAGUUAUUUAAAGACGAAUUGCAAAAUAUUGUAAUUAUAAUGAUUAUUAUUAUUAACCUUAAUUAUUUGAUCAUGAUUAUAAUAUUAUUUAAUAAUAAUAUAAUCACCUAAUAGUAAUAUGAAUAAAAUAAUUGUAACACCCCGUAUUUUUAUACCCGUUUAGUAAUUAGUUACAUUGAUUUAUUUUAGGAAAAUAAUUUCAGAUGUCUUUUAUUAAAAAUAUAUUUUUUUACUAGCUUUGACUUUAUCUUUGAAGUGGUCAAAAACAAAUUCCUAGAUUUACUAGGUUUACUAUCUAAUUAGAGUUGAAGAUUUGAAAAAAAAAAGGGAAAAAAAAAGGAAUACAAAUACCCAAAACCUACAGUAUCAUCAUCAUUCAUCACGACAUUUUUUUUUCCUCCGCAAAACUUCAUCUUCUUAUUUCACAUUCUUUUUCUAUUUUGUUUCUUCCUCCUUUAAUUCUUCCUUCAACCAUUAUCACACAUCCAUUGAUACAUCAUCUCCACCUUCAUCAUCUCUAGUUCGUUAGUUUUAAAAGAUAGGAAAUUUUUGGGUUAUUGGACUUGCGGUUUUCGGAUCAAGAGGUCGAGAUUGUUGGGUCUUUAUAGUGUAAUUUCACUUUUAUUACUUUUCCUAAUCAAAUUGCGGGUUCGUAGAGGAACCUUUUUGACUUAAGAUUGAGAUUUGUUAACUAUGGUUGCUGAUAAGGGACUUGAAGAUAGUUAGCUCCAGUUGGGUUAAAGAGUGCGUUGCAUCCCUUUUGAUUUAAUAGGACUUUAAAAAGACUUCCGCUGUUAUUUAUUUAUAAGAUUUAUGUUCUGGUUUGUAAUAAUUAUUUUACAGUCUAUUUAGUUGUUCUGUAAUAAUUAGUUAAAACUUAUUGGUUAUUGUUUUAGUUAGAACCAUUAGCCUUGCGGUUAUUAUUAAUAAUUAUCGCGGCGUAGCACCUUCGGAUUUCCGAGUUUAUUUUUAUUAAGUUGAUUUCAGAAGUAUUGGAAA